AGAUGAGACAACUAAGGCACCAAGAUGACAAAUGUCCUAGACAAGGUCAAAAGCAGGAAACACAAAGGACUUGACUGGGUUUUGCUGAAUUGCCCAGGCUGGCCUCAACCUUGUGAUUCUUCUGGUCUCAUCCUCCUGAGCUUCUGAGACUACAGGCAUGUGCCACUGUUCCUGGGGACAGCUCAAUUCAUUAGUCUGUAGGGCAGUUCUGGCUGCCUGAAUAGCAACAAGCUCCUGCCAAGGUACAAAGCUGCCAUCAGGUCUAUUCCAACAGGGCAAGCCUCAGAGACAUUGUGAAGACCAAAAUAAUCAGCUUUACUUAUGUUUGAAGAACUGAACAUGCACAUGGACAAUGGUAUCAAGACUGGGGAUAAUUCAGUGUAAGUUACUUCUAUUGUUUAUGACUUUUUUUUUUAACUACAUUUAAAAAAGAAGCAUGACAUUUUUCUUUAUUUAUGUUUUGCUUCAUCUGGAAAAGAAUUUGAG